UACAGAGGUCUCAAGCGUUGUUCGGAUUCAUUGGGCGUAAAGGGUGCGUAGGCGGCGCGGUAAGUCGGGUGUGAAAUCUCGGGGCUUAACUCCGAAACUGCAUUCGAUACUGCUGUGCUUGAGGACUGGAGAGGAGACUGGAAUUUACGGUGUAGCGGUGAAAUGCGUAGAUAUCGUAAGGAAGACCAGUGGCGAAGGCGGGUCUCGUGGACAGUUCCUGACGCUGAGGCACGAAGGUCAGGGGAGCAAACGGG
rnacentral:rRNA from 1 species